rnacentral:rRNA from 1 species
GGAAGUUUACGGCAAUAACAGGUCUGUGAUGCCCUUAGAUGUCCUGGGCUGCACGCGCGCUACACUGAUGCGUUCAUCGAGUUUAUCCUUGGCCGAGAGGCCUGGGUAAUCUUUAGUACGCAUCGUGAUGGGGAUCGAUUAUUGCAAUUGUUAAUCGUGAACGAGGAAUGCCUAAUAUGCGCAAGUCAUCAGCUUGUGCAGAUUACGUCCCUGCCCUUUGUACACACCGCCCGUCGCUCCUACCGAUCGAGUGAUC